AGAGGUUAAGACUGGAGGCAGCCUGGGCUGUAGUGACCAUGCCCUGGUUGAAUUCAUGAUCUCAAGGAGCGUUAGCCUGGCAAACAGAAAAAUCAGGA